rnacentral:rRNA from 1 species
UAGUGGCGGACGGGUGAGUAACGCGUGAGUAACCUGCCCUGGAGAGUGGAAUAACAACGAGAAAUCGUUGCUAAUACCGCAUAAGACCACAGCACCACAUGGUGCAGGGGUCAAAGAUUUAUCGCUCUAGGAUGGACUCGCGUCCCCAUUAGCUAGUUGGUGAGAUAAUAGCCCACCAAGGCAACGAUGGGUAGCCGAGCUGAGAGGCUGAUCGGCCACACUGGGACUGAGACACGGCCCAG